GGUCAGAAGGGCGUACGGAGGAUGCCUAGGCAUCAAAUGGCGACGAAGGACGCGGCGUAGCGGCGAUACGCUUCGGGGAGGUGCGUAGCAACCUGUGAUCCGGAGAUUUCCGAAUGGGGCAACCCGGUGGAGCAAACCUCCAUCAGUGCCAGCAAUGGUACGGCGAACCCGGCGAAGUAAAACAUUUCAGUAGCCGGAGGAACAGAAAAUCAAUCCCGACAAAUGUCGGGACCAUUCCCCAAGUAGCGGCGAGCGAAACGGGAGUAGCCCAAACCCGUCCUUCGCACUUUGCGAUGCGCAAAGCGCUGCGGAACGGCAGGCCUCAUAUAUUAAGAGAGCGUGUCGGUCCGUAGUAAUUUGCCCGCAAAUUGCGAAGGGUGGGGGUUGCAAGGUAGGGACGCUAUUUAUCUAUAGCGUGACCUCUGUAAUUUUACGGAGUGCGCGCUAUGGAUAAGUGUGGGUUUGUUACAAAUUCUUUUGUUAGUGGAAGAGCCUGGAACGGCUCGCCACAGAGGGUGAAAGCCCCGUACACGAAAACAAAGGAACAAACUAGUUUUUAUCCUUAAGUACCUCGGGGUCAAACAGCUCUGAGGGAAUCCGGCGGUACUAUCCGCCAAGGCUAAAUACAUUUGAUGACCGAUAGUGAACAAGUACCGUGAGGGAAAGGUGAAAAGCAGCCCGGGAGGGCGUUGAAAUAGAACCUGAAACCGUAUGUCUACAAGGAACUGAAGCUCUAUGGCGCUUCCGCAAGGAAGCGGCCGAGCGACAGUGUGCCUAUUGAAGAAUGACCCAACGACUUAUCGUAUAUCGCUAGUCUAAGCGCGGAAAGCGUGGAGGCACAGGGAAACCGAGUCUUAACAGGGCGAUUAUCCCCGUAAGGGGGUGCGGUAUGCGAUAGACCCGAAGCCGGAAGAGCUUGCCAUGGGCAGGGUGAACCCCGAUGAAAAUCGGGGGGAGGCCCGAACCAGUUGGUUGUUCAAAACCUUUGGAUGACCCGUGGUAAGGAGUGAAAAGCUAAUCGAUUUCGGUAAUAGCUGGUUCUCUCCGAAAUAGUUUUAGGACUAGCGUCGUGAAGUAGCGUGCGGGGGUAGAGCUACUGGAUAAUUCGUAAAGGGAGAAAUCUCGACGAAUUAAUCAAACUCCGAAUACCGUGCGUGGUAUCACGAUAGUCAGUACGUGGGGGCUAAGCUCCAUGUACGCAAGGGGAACAGCCCAGACCGUCAGCUAAGGUCCCUAAGUUACGGCUCAGUGUGAAAGGUAGUGCUUUGCCUUGGACAGGUAGGAGGUUGGCUUAGAGGUAGCCAUCCUUUAAAGAGUGUGUAACAACUCACUACUCGAUGGCAGAGUGCGCCGAAAAUGUACCGGGGCUCAAGCCGUAUACCGAAGCUACGGGUUCGCUGACUUCACAGAGGGAAAAUAUUUUUAUUUCCUCAACAGUUUCCAUCAGAAGAGAGGAGAGAGAUUACAACUCAACAGGUUGAAUUCGGUUUCUUCUUGAUGGAUGCAAUUUGAGGGGCAGGAGGUAUGCCUGGGCCACUUCGGCCUGGAUCAAACUCUCAAAAGCGCUCAGGCGCAAAACUGCCCCACCAGUUUGUGUGGCUCCUUCGUCUAACGGAUAGGACAGCACCCUUCGAGGGUGAAGAUCAGGAUUCAAAUCCUUGGGGGGCUACCAAACUUUAAAACCAAACCGGGCGUCUACGGACGCCCCCUCUGUGAAGUCAGCGAGCGGUAGGAGAGCAUUCGCAUCACUGCGAUGAAGCAGUACCCGCGAGGGACUGUGGAGCGUUGCGAAGAGAGAAUGUUGGGAUGAGUAACCACAUUCCUAAUGAGAAAUUGGGACCCUGAAAAUCCAAGGUUUCCGUGGCACUGGCAAUCAACCACGGGUUAGGCGGCCCUUAGCCGAUGCCGAAAGGCGCAGGUGAUGGAUAGCUGGUUAAUAUUCCAGCCCAGGCUGCCGAUCAUACCGGGGGGACGAAGGAAAUAAGUGUUUGUGCCUUACUGGUUUGGCAUUGUUUGGCAUAAGGCAUGCACCGCAAGGUGCGUGCCGAUGCAGGACAGAACUGGCGGGUUUCCCGCUGGGACAGACAUGAAGAGCCUUCCGAGAAAAGCCCCGUAAAGCGAUCGGUAGUCUUCCGUACCGGAAACCGACACUGGUGGAUAGGGCGAGUAGCCCAAAGGGAACGGGUGAGGCAUCGUCAAGGAACUAGGCAAAAAAGCGGCCGUAAGUUAGCGAUAAGGCCUGCCCCACGCAAGUGGGGCCGCAGCGAAAGUCUCUCUGGCGACUGUUUACCAAAAACACAGCUCCCUGCGAACUCGUAAGAGGAUGUAUAGGGGGUGACGCCUGACCGAUGCGAGAAGGUCAAACCUGGCGGUGGUAUGGAGUAAUCUGUACUGCUGACUGGGCAAAGCCCUCGUCAAUGUCAGCGAUAACUAUAAUCGUUCUAAGGUAGCGCAAUUCCUUUUCGGGUAAGUUCCGAAGCGCACGAAUGGCGUAACGAUCAGAGAACUGUCUCGACGAUGUGCCCGGUGAAAAUGCGAUUCCCGUGAAGACGCGGGAUACCUGUAGCGGGACGAAAAGACCCCGGAAGCUUUACUGCAGCCUGGUAUUGGCAAUAGGGGAUUACUGCGUAGCAUAGUGGGGAGCCUUUGAAGCAUCUCUUUCGGGA
rnacentral:tRNA from 1 species